rnacentral:lncRNA from 1 species
AUGAGACACAGACUGACUCCAUAUCUUGGCUGUUGUAAAGAAUGCUGCAAUGAACAUGUUGAUGAAGAUCCUGACAUUGAUGGCAGGGACAUGGAUGAAUCUGGAAAACAUCAUUCUCAGCAAACUGACAUAAGAACAGAAAAUGAAAUACCACAUAUUUUCACUCAUAGGCAGGUGAUGAAGAAUGAGAACAUAUGGACACAGGGAGAGGAGCACUACACAAUGGGGUCUAUUGGAGGGAAUAGGAGAGGGACAGUGGGGGAGGGGAUCUGGGGAGGGAUAGCAUGGGGAGAAAUGCCAGAUGUGGGUGAAGGGGAGGAAGGCAGCAAAUCACACUGCCACGUGUGUACCUAUGUAACUAUCUUGCAUGUUCUGCACAUGUACCCCAAAACCUAA